GACGAACGCUGGCGGCGUGCUUAACACAUGCAAGUCGAACGGAAAGGCCCUGAUUUCGUGGUCUGACGGGGUGGCGGAGGGGGGAGUAACAGGUGAACAUCCUGCUCUUGUUUUUGGUAUAACUUCAGGAAAGUGGGGCUACUAUCGUAUAGCAGCUGCUGCAGGAUGGUGGGGGUUGGAUCGUUUCGGCUGUUGGGGUUGGAUGCGCGGAUUAGCAGCUUGUUGGUGGGGUGGUGGCUUACCCACGAUGUGGCCGGUAGCCGGCACGAGAGGGUGACCGGCCACAUGGGGACUGAGAGACGGCGCAGACUCCUACGGGAGGCAGCAGUGGGGAAUAUUGCACAAUGGGCGGAAGCCUGAUGCAGCAACGCCGCGGGCGGGAUGACGGCCUUCGGGUUGUAAACCGCUGUCGCCUGUGACGAAGCGUGAGUGACGGUAAUGGGUAAAGAAGCACCGGCUAACUACGUG
rnacentral:rRNA from 1 species